UUGCACGCUGGCGGCCUGCUUUACACAUGCAAGUCGAACGGCAGCGCGGGCUUCGGCCUGGCGGCGAGUGGCGAACGGGUGAGUAAUACAUCGGAACGUGCCCAGUAGUGGGGGAUAGCUCGGCGAAAGCCGGAUUAAUACCGCAUACGACCUGAGGGUGAAAGCGGGGGAUCUUCGGACCUCGCGCUAUUGGAGCGGCCGAUGGCAGAUUAGCUAGUUGGUGGGGUAAAGGCCUACCAAGGCGACGAUCUGUAGCUGGUCUGAGAGGACGACCAGCCACACUGGGACUGAGACACGGCCCAGACUCCUACGGGAGGCAGCAGUGGGGAAUUUUGGACAAUGGGCGAAAGCCUGAUCCAGCAAUGCCGCGUGUGUGAUGAAGGCCUUCGGAUUGUAAAGCACUUUUGGCGGGAACGAAAAGGACUGUGCCAAUACCACGGUUCGAUGACGGUACCCGCAGAAUAAGCACCGGCUAACUACGUG
rnacentral:rRNA from 1 species